GACGAACGCUGGCGGCGUGCCUAAUACAUGCAAGUCGAACGCAUUUUCUUUCACCGUAGCUUGCUACACCGAAAGAAAAUGAGUGGCAAACGGGUGAGUAACACGUGGGUAACCUGCCCAUCAGCGGGGGAUAACACUUGGAAACAGGUGCUAAUACCGCAUAAUUCCAUUUACCGCAUGGUAAAUGGAUGAAAGGCGCUUUUGCGUCACUGAUGGAUGGACCCGCGGUGCAUUAGCUAGUUGGUGGGGUAACGGCCUACCAAGGCUGCGAUGCAUAGCCGACCUGAGAGGGUGAUCGGCCACACUGGGACUGAGACACGGCCCAGACUCCUACGGGAGGCAGCAGUAGGGAAUCUUCGGCAAUGGACGCAAGUCUGACCGAGCAACGCCGCGUGAGUGAAGAAGGUUUUCGGAUCGUAAAACUCUGUUGUUAGAGAAGAACAAGGAUGAGAGUGGAAAGUUCAUCCCUUGACGGUAUCUAACCAGAAAGCCACGGCUAACUACGUG
rnacentral:rRNA from 1 species